ACACAUGCAAGUCGAGGGGCAGCACAGGUAGCAAUACCGGGUGGCGACCGGCGCACGGGUGAGUAACGCGUAUGCAACUUGCCUAUCAGAGGGGGAUAACCCGGCGAAAGUCGGACUAAUACCGCAUGAAGCAGGGAUCCCGCAUGGGAAUAUUUGCUAAAGAUUCAUCGCUGAUAGAUAGGCAUGCGUUCCAUUAGGCAGUUGGCGGGGUAACGGCCCACCAAACCGACGAUGGAUAGGGGUUCUGAGAGGAAGGUCCCCCACAUUGGUACUGAGACACGGACCAAACUCCUACGGGAGGCAGCAGUGAGGAAUAUUGGUCAAUGGCCGAGAGGCUGAACCAGCCAAGUCGCGUGAGGGAUGAAGGUUCUAUGGAUCGUAAACCUCUUUUAUAAGGGAAUAAAGUGCGGGACGUGUCCCGUUUUGUAUGUACCUUAUGAAUAAGGAUCGGCUAACUCCGUGCCAGCAGCCGCGGUAAUACGGAGGAUCCGAGCGUUAUCCGGAUUUAUUGGGUUUAAAGGGUGCGUAGGCGGCCUUUUAAGUCAGCGGUGAAAGUCUGUGGCUCAACCAUAGAAUUGCCGUUGAAACUGGGGGGCUUGAGUAUGUCUGAGGCAGGCGGAAUGCGUGGUG
rnacentral:rRNA from 1 species